UCAAGCAACUAAGCGCAUACGGUGGAUGCCUUGGCAGUCAGAGGCGAUGAAAGACGUGGAAGCCUGCGAUAAGGUUCGGGGAGCUGGCAAACAAGCUGUGAUCCGGGCAUUUCUGAAUGGGGAAACCCACCGACUUUCGGGUCGGUAUCUUACACUGAAUCCAUAGGUGUAAGAGGCGAACCGGGGGAACUGAAACAUCUAAGUACCCCGAGGAAAAGAAAUCAACCGAGAUUCCCUAAGUAGCGGCGAGCGAACGGGGAUUAGCCCUUAAGCUAGACAACUGGUAGGAGAAGGCUCUGGAAAGUGCCGCCAUAGUGGGUGAUAGCCCCGUAUCCGAAACCUGAGUCUGGUGAAAUCGAGUAGGACGGGACACGUGAUAUCCUGUCUGAACAUGGGGGGACCAUCCUCCAAGGCUAAAUACUCCUGACUGACCGAUAGUGAACCAGUACCGUGAGGGAAAGGCGAAAAGAACCCCUGUGAGGGGAGUGAAAUAGAUCCUGAAACCGUAUGCGUACAAGCAGUCGGAGCGGACUUGUUCCGUGACGGCGUACCUUUUGUAUAAUGGGUCAUCGACUUGGUCUAUCUAGCAAGCUUAAGCCGUUAGGUGUAGGCGCAGCGAAAGCGAGUCUUAAUAGGGCGAAUGAGUUAGGUGGAUCAGACCCGAAACCGAGUGAUCUAGGCAUGGCCAGGUUGAAGGUAAGGUAACACUUACUGGAGGACCGAACCCACAUCUGUUGAAAAAGAUCGGGAUGAGCUGUGCCUAGGGGUGAAAGGCCAAUCAAACUCGGAGAUAGCUGGUUCUCUGCGAAAUCUAUUUAGGUAGAGCGUCAUCCGAAUACCCUCGGGGGUAGAGCACUGGAUGGGUAAUGGGGCCCCACAGGCUUACUGAUCCUAACCAAACUCCGAAUACCGAGGAGUACUAGAUGGCAGACACACUGCGGAUGCUAACGUCCGUAGUGGAGAGGGAAACAACCCUGACCUACAGCUAAGGCCCCCAAUUCAUGGCUAAGUGGGAAAGCAGGUGGGACGACCAAAACAACCAGGAGGUUGGCUUAGAAGCAGCCAUCCUUUAAAGAUAGCGUAACAGCUCACUGGUCUAAAUAAGUUAUCCUGCGGCGAAGAUGUAACGGGGCUCAAGCCAUGAGCCGAAGCUUAGGAUGCCGUAAGGCAUGGUAGCAGAGCGUAGUGUG
rnacentral:rRNA from 1 species